rnacentral:rRNA from 1 species
AGUUUGAUCCUGGCUCAGGAUGAACGCUGGCGGCGUGCCUAAUACAUGCAAGUCGAACGCUUUGUGGUUCAACUGAUUUGAAGAGCUUGCUCAGAUAUGACGAUGGACAUUGCAAAGAGUGGCGAACGGGUGAGUAACACGUGGGAAACCUACCUCUUAGCAGGGGAUAACAUUUGGAAACAGAUGCUAAUACCGUAUAACAAUAGCAACCGCAUGGUUGCUACUUAAAAGAUGGUUCUGCUAUCACUAAGAGAUGGCCCCGCGGUGCAUUAGUUAGUUGGUGAGGUAAUGGCUCACCAAGACGAUGAUGCAUAGCCGAGUUGAGAGACUGAUCGGCCACAAUGGGACUGAGACACGGCCCAUACUCCUACGGGAGGCAGCAGUAGGGAAUCUUCCACAAUGGGCGAAAGCCUGAUGGAGCAACGCCGCGUGUGUGAUGAAGGGUUUCGGCUCGUAAAACACUGUUGUAAGAGAAGAAUGACAUUGAGAGUAACUGUUCAAUGUGUGACGGUAUCUUACCAGAAAGGAACGGCUAAAUACGUGCCAGCAGCCGCGGUAA